rnacentral:rRNA from 1 species
CCUACGGGAGGCAGCAGUGAGGAAUAUUGGUCAAUGGACGAGAGCCUGAACCAGCCACGCAGCGUGAAGGAUGACUGCCCCAUGGGUUGUAAACCUUUUUUUUAAAGGAAUAAAACGAGGCACGUGUGCCUUUUGGCACGUACUUUAUGAAUAAGGAUCGGCUAACUCCGUGCCAGCAGCCGCGGUAAUACGGAGGAUCCGAGCGUUAUCCGGAUUGAUUGGGGUUAAAGGGAGCGUAGAUGGGUUGUUAAGUUAGUUGUGAAAGUUUGCGGCUCAACCGUAAAAUUGCAAUUGAUACUGGCAGUCUUGAGUGCAGUUGAGGUAGGCGGAAUUCGUGGUGUAGCGGUGAAAUGCUUAGAUAUCACGAAGAACCCCGAUUGCGAAGGCAGCUUACUGGACUGUGACUGACGUUGAUGCUCGAAAGUGUGGGUAUCAAACAGGAUUAGAUACCCCAGUAGUC